rnacentral:tRNA from 2 species
GGACAGAUGGCCGAGCUGGUUAUGGCGCCAGGUUAAGGAACUCCAUAAUCCUGGUCACGAAAGUGGCGUGGGUUCGAGUCCCACUCUGUUCA